CCAUGGAUUUACUAUUCCAUCUCUCUCUCUCAUUCUCUUUAUUUAAAAAAAAUUGAUUAUUAUUUUUUGCUUUUGUUUCUUUCUUCUGAUUCAUGUAAGUAUGUGUGUUUCUCUUGACCACAGGUAAUGCCUGCUGCUUUGGAAAAAAUCAGAGGUCGCGAGGCUGGAAACCAAUAUGUCAAGUUGAGAAGCGAGGAAUUGCAGGAUAGAAACUCGCUUUGUAAAACCAGUACAGCUGAGGAGACAGAAGCAAGGAACUGUGGCUUCACAGAAUCAGUCAAAGCCAUACAAGCCAGAUUCCUUGAAACUUCAAUGUUUACGACACUACCAAGCGCUGAGAUGAAAUCCAGUUCAAUUAAGCAGGUGUUCCCUGAACGGCAGCUCCUUGUCAAGCUCUUUUCUAGGCACUGGGAGCAUCACGCAAAGAGGAUAAAGCAGAGCCAUUUGCUCUCCAAGAGCGGAGAGCUUAGGUGUGGAGACCCCACACACACGGGAGCCAGGUAAACCGCUCACCUGGACUGCUGACCUAAGUGCUCGCCCAAGUGCUGCAGCCGGGAGUCAGGGGUUGAGAGCCAAGUGUCGGCCGAACAGUGAAGGAAGACACAGGGCUCCCAGGACCCCUCUCUGAAAGCAACGAGGCCCUGAGGAGUUGUCCUUGUCUGGUCAUCAUCCAAGAAAUUCAGAAUCUUUGGAUGAGGAGGACCACGUGCCCAGCGAGCUCCUCCGGGGGCCAAUACCCACCUCUUCACCUCGAGGUUCUCAGCUUUAAGGUCACUUCCAGACAGGUCUUUCCAGGCCUCUCAGUUUAAAACUAGGUCCUGGAGUUCCUGCUGCGGCUCAGCGGUUAACGAAUCCGACUAGGAAUCAUGAGGUUGUGGGUUCGAUCCCCGGCCUUGCUCAGUGGGUUUAGGGUCUGGUGUUGCCGUGAGCUGUGGUGUAGGUCACAGACGCGGCUUGGAUCCUGCGUAGCUGUGGCCCUGGCGUAGGCUGGCAGCUGCAGCUCGGAUUCGACCCCUAGCCUGGGAACUUCCAUAUGCCGUGGGUACACCCCUAGAAAAGACAAAAAGACAAUAAAUUAAAUAAAUAAAUAAAUAAAACUAGGUCC
rnacentral:lncRNA from 1 species